rnacentral:misc_RNA from 1 species
AACGGACAAGGCCAGAUCAACAGCCCAAGGUCCCAUAUCAAGAAAUCUUCCGAGAAGCACCAGUGCUCGAAACCGGUGGGAAUGACUAAGUAACACCUGUAGCACAACCGGCAACUGCACUGGUGGUUUUUUAUUCUCUGAUCCAAAGUCAAGCCAAAGCUCAAAAGCUGUCAAUUGGUCGGUGAAGAAUGAGCUAGGCUGAAAUUCAACACUUGGAUCAGCAAGCAAAGUUGGAAGCUGCAAAAGGCAGAUUUCUGCUUCCAUGUCCCACGCAUCCCACAUGUGAUGCUGAUGAGUAGGU